rnacentral:rRNA from 1 species
GAUGAACGCUGGCGGCGCGCUUAACACAUGCAAGUCGAACGGAGUGCCUUAGAAAGAGGAUUCGUCCAAUUGAUAAGGUUACUUAGUGGCGGACGGGUGAGUAACGCGUGAGGAACCUGCCUCGGAGUGGGGAAUAACAGACCGAAAGGCCUGCUAAUACCGCAUGAUGCAGUUGGACCGCAUGGUCCUGACUGCCAAAGAUUUAUCGCUCUGAGAUGGCCUCGCGUCUGAUUAGCUUGUUGGCGGGGUAAUGGCCCACCAAGGCGACGAUCAGUAGCCGGACUGAGAGGUUGGCCGGCCACAUUGGGACUGAGACACGGCCCAGACUCCUACGGGAGGCAGCAGUGGGGAAUAUUGGGCAAUGGGCGCAAGCCUGACCCAGCAACGCCGCGUGAAGGAAGAAGGCUUUCGGGUUGUAAACUUCUUUUCUCAGGGACGAACAAAUGAC